rnacentral:rRNA from 1 species
GGGGGCCGCGGCUGGUGAUGGGACUUGCUCCCUGAGCUGGCUACGGCCGCAGAGACCAGGUGGAAGCGACUGUUUACUAAAAACACAGGUCCAUGCAAAGUCGCAAGACGACGUAUAUGGACUGACGCCUGCCCGGUGCUGGAACGUUAAGGGGACCAGUUAGUUCUUCGGAGCGAAGCUGAGAACUUAAGCGCCAGUAAACGGCGGUGGUAACUAUAACCAUCCUAAGGUAGCGAAAUUCCUUGUCGGGUAAGUUCCGACCUGCACGAAUGGCGUAACGACUUCCACGCUGUCUCAACCGCAGACUCGGCGAAAUUGCACUACGAGUAAAGAUGCUCGUUACGCGUGGCAGGACGGAAAGACCCCGGGACCUUUACUACAGCUUGGUAUUGGUGGUCGGUUCGAUUUGUGUAGCAUAGGUGGGAGACUUGGAAGCCCGGACGCCAGUUCGGGUGGAGUCAUCGUUGAAAUACCACUCUGAUCGUAUUGGCUGUCUAACCUCGAUCCGUGAUCCGGAUUAGGGACAGUGCCUGGUGGGUAGUUUAACUGGGGCGGUUGCCUCCCAAAGAGUAACGGAGGCGCUCAAAGGUUCCCUCAGCCUGGUUGGCAAUCAGGUGUCGAGUGUAAGUGCACAAGGGAGCUUGACUGUGAGACUGACAGGUCGAGCAGGGACGAAAGUCGGAACUAGUGAUCCGGCGCCGGCAUGUGGAAGCGGCGUCGCUCAACGGAUAAAAGGUACCCCGGGGAUAACAGGCUGAUCUUGCCCAAGAGUCCAUAUCGACGGCAUGGUUUGGCACCUCGAUGUCGGCUCGUCGCAUCCUGGGGCUGGAGUCGGUCCCAAGGGUUGGGCUGUUCGCCCAUUAAAGCGGCACGCGAGCUG